UCGUGUCGUGAGAUGUUGGGUUAAGUCCCGCAACGAGCGCAACCCUGCAUUCAGUUGCCAUCGGUAAGGCCGGGCACUCUGGAUGGACUGCCGGCGACAAGCCGGAGGAAGGUGGGGACGACGUCAAGUCAUCAUGGCCCUUAUGUCCAGGGCGACACGCGUGCUACAAUGGCCGGCACAACGGGAAGCGAAGGGGCGACCCUGAGCGGAUCCCACAAAAGCCGGUCCCAGUUCGGAUUGCAGUCUGCAACUCGACUGCAUGAAGUUGGAAUCGCUAGUAAUCGUGGAUCAGCCAAGCCGCGGUGAAUACGUUCCCGGGCCUU
rnacentral:rRNA from 1 species